AUUGAACGCUGGCGGCAGGCCUAACACAUGCAAGUCGAGCGGUAACACAGGGAGCUUGCUCCUGGGUGACGAGCGGCGGACGGGUGAGUAAUGUCUGGGAAACUGCCUGAUGGAGGGGGAUAACUACUAGAAACGGUAGCUAAUACCGCAUAACGUCGCAAGACCAAAGAGGGGGAGCUUCGGGCCUCUUGCCAUCAGAUGUGCCCAGAUGGGAUUAGCUAGUAGGUGGGGUAACGGCUCACCUAGGCGACGAUCCCUAGCUGGUCUGAGAGGAUGACCAGCCACACUGGAACUGAGACACAGUCCAGACUCCUACGGGAGGCAGCAGUGGGGAAUAUUGCACAAUGGGCGCAAGCCUGAUGCAGCCAUGCCGCGUGUAUGAAGAAGGCCUUAGGGUUGUAAAGUACUUUCAGCGGGGAGGAAGGCGUUGAGGUUAAUAACCUCAGCGAUUGACGUUACCCGCAGAAGAAGCACCGGCUAACUCCGUGCCAGCAGCCGCCGUAA
rnacentral:rRNA from 1 species